rnacentral:rRNA from 1 species
UACGGAGGGUGCAAGCGUUAUCCGGAUUCACUGGGUUUAAAGGGUGCGUAGGUGGGCAGGUAGGUCAGUGGUGAAAUCUCCGGGCUUAACUCGGAACGGUCAGAUGAUACUGCUUUGCUCGAGUGCGGAAGGGGCAAUCGGAAUUCUUGGUGUAGCGGUGAAAUGCGUAGAUAUCAAGAGGAACACCUGAGGUGAAGACGGGUUGCUGGGCCGACACUGACGCUGACAGCGCGAAAGCCAGGGGAGCAAACGGG